CCGAACCGACUAAUGUUGAAAAAUUAGCGGAUGACCUGUGGCUGGGGGUGAAAGGCCAAUCAAACCGGGAGAUAGCUGGUUCUCCCCGAAAGCUAUUUAGGUAGCGCCUCGUGAAUUCAUCUCCGGGGGUAGAGCACUGUUUCGGCUAGGGGGCCAUCCCGGCUUACCAACCCGAUGCAAACUGCGAAUACCGGAGAAUGUUAUCACGGGAGACACACGGCGGGUGCUAACGUCCGUCGUGAAGAGGGAAACAACCCAGACCGCCAGCUAAGGUCCCAAAGUCAUGGUUAAGUGGGAAACGAUGUGGGAAGGCCCAGACAGCCAGGAUGUUGGCUUAGAAGCAGCCAUCAUUUAAAGAAAGCGUAAUAGCUCACUGGUCGAGUCGGCCUGCGCGGAAGAUGUAACGGGGCUAAACCAUGCACCGAAGCUGCGGCAGCGACACUG
rnacentral:rRNA from 2 species